rnacentral:tRNA from 1 species
AGGUAGCUCAGUUGGUAGAGCAGGGGAUUGAAAAUCCCCGUGUCGGCGGUUCGAUUCCGUCCCU